ACAAAGUAAUUGGCUGGAGUCAACCUGGGCCCUCAGUAAAACAAGUGUGGGUUCGGGAAGUCAAAAGAGUUUGAGAGCUCCUGCCUCUGUCCUAUGGCAUUCCUGUGGUGGAAAAUCCCACAGUGAGGGGAGCUGUGGGCAGGAAAGUGGAGCACAGCCAUCCUGCUGCUUUCUGAAGGCAUCUAUCAGGUUGUGCAGGCAUAGCCAGGUCUCUAGCAUCCCUGUCUCUGCUCUUAGGUGUCAAUUUCUAUCAGACACUGGAAAUCCUGAGUAUAUUUCCAAGAAGAUGGGCAGAGUCAUUUGAUUGACCAUUGUGCUGGUCACACAGAAGAGAAGAAUGACCAUUCUUGCUCACAGGCUUAAAACCCACCUGCAUUCAUAUCUCCUCUAAGCGCUGCAAACAGCAAAGCAGAGAUGGUAACAGCCACUAAAGGAGGAAGGGCCACGUACAGAGAUGUUCACUUACCUCCAAAGGUCUUUACUCUCUUGGUCAAAGGCCCUGACUGCCUAUCUUCAGUUUGGGUAUCUUUAAAUUUAAUCUGUCCAUAUUCCUUUUGCAUAGCUCUUGGAUGAAAAGGUUUGGCUCUGUAAAACAAUAUUGCCAAGCUGCUACAUGAGGAAUGAGCCACACAUAGAAGGUAUGUAAGUACGUGCUUGUGAAAAAGCCAACAAACUCUUCCCUCGUAUGUGAUGAUGCCUUUUCCAUGUCUAGUGUUGUCUUAGCUUCGUUUUCAUUACUUCACACAUAAAAACAGAAGUUAAAGGAUGUGCAAAAUGUCACACAGUGAAGUAAAAUUAUUGGCUGAUCUAAGAACUUCCACCCCAACCAGAAGUCUUAUCUUCCAAGCUUUGAAUCUGUGUCAGAACCAAUUAUUUUAACGUAGAUUUUUUAAAUAUAUAUGGUAGCAUCUUAAGGCUUUGUCAAUAUAUUUAAAGUUGUUCUACAAUAUAUACAGUAAUUGCUUUUCUAUGAGGACCGAGAUACAUGAAAGAUUCAAAAGAUAGAGGACUUUUCAUUGAUGGCAACUUUUAAAAAAAUAAAAGCUGGAUUAUUACAUGAAGGAGAUAAAAGGCCAUGAAAUAGAUAUUAAGGCCAUGAAGUAGAUAUUUUUACUCUAGCAUAAGAGAGGAUUUUUAGCUUCUAAAUAUGCAGAGACACUAUAUCAACUAUCACAAAUGUGUGCCGGUGAUGCAUCCAACAACACUUAAUUAUCAGUUCUACAGGAAAAUUAGGUGAGAAAAUUACUUGUCUUUUUGUAUUUAUUUUAGUUAUAAAAACCCAAAGAUGAUGACACUUCUCUCACUACAGCAUGUUAGACAUAGAUGGCUUGCCUGUCUUAUUUUUCCCCCUUGGUGAUGCAGAUUGAUAAUUCCUGCAGUGGGCUCAGUUUAAUUUGUUACUUUUUACAAAUGCAUAUUGUGCAGUUUUAAAGACAGCUGUCUUCAAAAUGGGUAGACAUUAAGCAGUUUCAUUUUUUGUGGUGUCUUAGAUCAGAAAUGUUUGAGAUGGAAGAAACUGAUCUGGUCCACUACCUCGACCUUCUUUGCAAUGUGAGAUGCAUACUUAUGGGUCGGUAUUUGUAUGUCCUUCUUGCUUUCCUCCUCUAGAAAUUAAUUAGGGCAUUAAACAAUAUCAAAACAUGAAAAUGUUUGCAGAUGGACAGAUAGGAGCUAAAAGAUACUGAAAGUUCUUGUGCUACCAAACACAGCACAGGGAACAACUGAAGUAGCCACAGCUGAUGAAAGCAAUGUUUUUUCAAAUGCUGUCCUAUGCUCAAAUAAGGCAUCUGAGAGAGCAACAACAGCUACCAUGGUGUGUGUCUCAUUUCCCUCACCCUGGGGCAUCCCGGGCAUAGCAAUGCUGCAUGGAGAAGAAAAGAAAAAAAAAGAGAGAGAGAGAAGGAAGGCUGAAAAGUAAGAAGAAAAAUCAGUCUUUGAAUGUGAAGAUAAAAAAUAAGCCAUCAGGAACUAAACUGGUUUUAAUUUUGUCUCUGAUACUGUAGGGUUCUGGCAUGCAUCUGUCAACAUGGCUGACGUAGCUACACAGGAAUAUGGUGGGAAAAGUCUUGGCUAGAAAAAUCUUACUGCACACAUAUGAUGAAAGAGAAGGGAAAGGCAAUGUUGGAAGAGAACGACUUGUUCCCAGCAGUCAGCAAAGUCUCCAGCCAUAUUACAGCGGUGGCAGCUGCCUCUUCCCCAGUGGAAAGAAAGCACUCACACCAGCCACCACCACGUAAGUGUAAGUUCUUUUCUCAAGUUAAUGAUAUGUUGUAGCAGAAAUCCUAGAGCAAGAUUUAAACUUCUACUAAACAAGUCCCCUUGGUAGUUUUACAUGAUUUGCAAAAAUCAUUUAAAACUGAACAAAACAAGCCUGAAGUGAUACAUCAUUUUUCUAAAUACUGUUGUUUCUAGAAUGCAGGUGUUCUGUUGGGUGUUGUUCUCAGACACCGUGUUUCUUUUGGAGGUUCAGAAACUGAUGUGCAAAUACCCAAUCCCCUUUUGUAUUAACCUCACUAAGGUCAGUAAGCAUUUUGCUUUAAACAGCAAUGCUCCAAAAUGGGGGAGUUGAAAGUCUGGUUUGCUUAUCUCUUCUAGAACUUGAGGAUCCCUCUUACCUUGUGAAAAAACAGAAUGUAAAUCCAUCUUAUCAGUAGCUAUUGCACCCUCUGAAGUAGUGUGGUUAGUGUUCAUUUAUAUUCUGUCCCCAUUUUCCACCAAAUUCAAACACAGUCUCCUAAAUUCACAUACUCAUGCUAGUUUCCAGUAUUUGCAAUAAUUUUCUUUUUCUUCUGCACAGAAAACUUUGCAGAGCCACCUCAGUGAAUGUGAGGGACGAAGUGCUGAGGUCCUGCUCCCUGUUGGGUCAGCCAUCACCAACAUCCUCUUUGGUGCCAAACAAAAGGAGGAAUCGCAGGAUGAGAAUUUUGGCAAGAUGGAGAGCAGAUCUCUGGAAGGGUGCAAAUGACACUGCAAGACUAGAAGAUCUGAGCCCUAUGAAGCUGAGCAAGUGUAACCACAAUGCCUCACUGGGGCUGUUUGGCUCUGGCCUAAGAGUUGGAAGAGCUGUAUCUUUGUUUUGAAGAGAAAAAACAAGCUUUGGAAAUGAUGCUUUGUGCCCAUGCAGCAAGCUGUGCUGUGGGCUCCCCGCUCUGCAAAGCACUGCAGCCUCCUUCCCCUGGGCCAGGGCAUGAGGCAGAGAGAAAUGAUGCUGUGCCUACCGCUGUAGUAUCACCAGCUCAGACCUGAAGCUGUCCAUAUACCAUAAGAUUCAAGCUUGUCCAAGCACAGAGUUUUGUGUCUCGGUUUCUUCCCCUUGACAAAAAUGGAGGACUGAAGCAGAGAUGGGAUUGUGCUGGAUGCACCACUGACAGGGCUGGAGUGCUGAUCAUACCAUAUUGCAGAAAUGCAAGACGUUCUUGGUUAAUCUGGAAAAGACUCACCGAAUCCAAGCAAAACAGCAAAUGAUUCUGCUGAAAGCAAGGGAAGAGUAAGCUAAGUGUGAGCAGCAAGGUCUGGUUUGGCUAAGUCUUUGACACACAACAAAGAUCUGUGCCCACACCUGGUGCCCUAGGCUGACUAAACUGGUGACAACCACUAAUACCUCUAAUCUGGCUUGUCUGCAUGCAAGUCAUGAGAUUCUUUCAGCCACUACGUUGUCAAGCCCAGUUUCUCAUUGAACAAGAGCAUCAAAUCUGAAGAUAAAGUGACAAAAAGACAAGUCAAUCUUCUAAUAAAGUGCUUGGAUGAAUUGCUACUUUAGGCAAGAACUGGUCAGCAUUAGCUUCUUUGGGACUUUGUUUUUGGGAGAAAAGCAAACAGAACAGCCCAACUCCUCCCCAACUCUAAUUUCCUCAUUGAAGAGCAUGAAGUUGGUUCUUAUUUAGCAAAUUAAAUAUAGGACCCAUUUCUUUCAGUAGUGCCUCAUUUAUUUGCCAUGUGCAAGCAUACUGAUAAUAUAUAUGUAGAAACUUUCUGCUCAAUUGCAAGUUACUGUGGAAGCUGAGGGAGGUAAAUACUCAGCCCCUCCAAGACUUCUGUUGUCUAAAAUUAGCAACAGAGAAUAGUAAGGUGUGUAGAGUACUACUUUUCCCUAGAAUUCCUUCUUCUUUUACAUCUUUUGAAUGAUGUGGCUGUAAGGCUAAGAACAUAAUCUAUAGAAAAACUGGAACAUAUAUAUAGGUAGUGAUGCCAACGUGAAAAAGCCACCUUCUUUUCCCUGUACUUGUUGCUGACACUGCUGUUUCUGAAUGGCACACCAGUAGGCAGGACUUUGCACGCCAUGGAUGUAAUGCUGCCUCUGAGACUCUGAAUGGAGCAGAAGUUCCUGAGGAUCAUUCUUCUCAUGGUAAGACGACACUGUCCUCCUAACUUAACAUGAGCCAACAGUGUGCGCUUGCAUCCUGAAAGGCCAACUGUAUCCUGGGCUGCAUCAAAAGAGGGGUGCCCAGCAGGGCAAGGGAAAUGAUGGUCCCUCUGUACCCUCAUGAGGUCCCAUCUGGAGUACUGUGUCCAGACCUGGGACCCUUGGCACAAGAAAUACGUGGAGCUGCUGGAGCAGAUCCAGGGGAGUGUCACAAAGAUGAUCAGAGAGCCAAAGCACCUUUUCUAUGAAGAAGGGCUGAGGGAGUUGGACUUGUUCAGACUGGAGAAGAGAAGGCUCUGGGGAGACCUCAUUAUGGCUUUCCACUACUUGAAGGGAAUUUAUAGUCAGGAAGGAAAUUGACUUUUUCCACAGGCUGAUAGUGAUAGAACAAAGGUGAAUGGCUUUAAACUAAAAGAGGGGAGACUUAGAUUAGAUAAUAGAAAUAAAAUUUUGCUCAGAGGGUGGUGUGGUCCUGGCACAGGCUGCCUAGAGAAGCUGUAGAUACCCCAUCCCUGGAGUCAUUUAAGGCCAGAUUGAAUGGAGACCUGGGAAGUGUGAUAUAGUGGGUGGCAAUGGCCCAUGGCAGUGGGUUGGAACUAGAGGGUUUACAUGGACACUCCCAACUCCAAGCCAUUGUAUGUUUUUAUGAUUCUGAGUGCGUGGACAUGGCUGCAUGACCUUGGUGCACAGCAGCCCACUGCUGAGGGACAGACAGC
ensembl:lncRNA